UACGUAGGGUCCGAGCGUUGUCCGGAAUUAUUGGGCGUAAAGGGCUCGUAGGCGGUCCGUCACGUCGGGAGUGAAAACUCAGGGCUCAACCCUGAGCGUGCUUCCGAUACGGGCGGACUAGAGGUAUGCAGGGGAGAACGGAAUUCCUGGUGUAGCGGUGGAAUGCGCAGAUAUCAGGAGGAACACCGGUGGCGAAGGCGGUUCUCUGGGCCAUUACUGACGCUGAGGAGCGAAAGCGUGGGGAGCGAACAGG
rnacentral:rRNA from 1 species